rnacentral:lncRNA from 1 species
CUCUCUCUCUCAAAUCCAAUCCUCAUCUUUGUCCCCAAGUCGGAAUCUGAGCAUCUCCUCUCUGCCGAUGCCGCGAUGCAAGAACCAUCGGAGAGAAGACAGAGUGGGGUGAUUCAAUCGAGUUCGACGGGGGUGGUGUGAAAGGCCUUUAUUUGGGUAGAAAUUCAACGACUUAGUAUUGAAUCUGGAGUGAGGAUGUCUGUGUUGCAGAGCCUUUGAUGGGAGAAAAAAUUCAACGCCUUGGACUGAAUCUUGGUGAUUUUUUUUUCCCUCUUUUAAUAAUUUUUAAUAUUUUAAUAUUUUAAUAUUUUCUCUUAAUUUCAUCACAGCAUCAGACCCACUGUGAUCCUUUCUCCAUCAAACCCAUGUAAUUUUCGUUUUAUGGAGGAUUUGUUUUCUUCCAUGUAUGAGGUUAUGGAUUUGUGCUUCAAAAUAAGGUAUGAAAUUUUGAACAAUCAGGUUGUUGAUUUUCUUUAAAGUCUUGGAUUCUUGAAUUUUCUUCCUACUUUUUUUUUUUUUCAAUUUGAGAUUUGUUUUAUUACUCAAGAACUCUGGUCAUGAUGAAUCCAAUUGGAGUUUUCGGGCUUGUUAGUGGAGAACUGAGGUUGACAUCAAAAGAGAAAGAUGAGUUCUUUAACUGAGAAACCUCAUA